rnacentral:misc_RNA from 1 species
GGAAGGAUCAUCACUGAGAUUUGGCAUAUGCCGAAUCCGGCUGUGCGGCUGUUCUCAGUGGUUUUGCUGUGUGUCGGUGGAGAAUGUUGACUCUGCUUCGCGUGAGUUGGCAUUUUUUGCUGAUGUAUAGUGGAGCCUCGUUUGCAAUGAUGUAAACGUGUGGGUUUGUUUUGAAAAUCCUGGCUAGUGUCAGCGUGUUUUGGAUUUGCUAUGCAAGUGAAUACGAAAUGUGCUGGAAGUUUGCUGUAUUUCGCGGUGACGCGCAUAUGCAAUGCUGUGUAUGUGUGGAAUUGUAAUUCGUAGCGGACUUUUGUGGUUGUCUAAUUCAAUGCAAAGUUAGAUGAUUGCGCAUUAGUUGGGUCUGGAAGUAGAAAACAGUAGUGCCAGACAAAUGUAUGCGUUGGAAAUGAUUCUAGCGUGUAAUGGUUGUUUUCUGCUUUCAGGGUUGGUUUGUGUGUUUCCUAUGCAGCGCCAGUGUAUGGAAACGACGAUUGUUUUGCGUGUUCCGGUAUCAAUGACGGCGCUUAACACGUGGGAUUCUCUUAGCAAUUAAUGAUCACUAUGCCGGUGACGCCAACCAAACUAUUGUCUCUUGUUAAACAUGAAUAUUAAACUUUUGCAUUUGAUGUUUCGACAUUACUUGUAAAUAAAACUAUAUUAUUCCGAGCGGUGGAUCACUCGGCUCAUGGGUCGAUGAAAAGCGCAGCCAGCUGCGUGACUUAAUGCGAAUUGCAGACACAUUGAGCAUCGACAUCUUGAACGCACAUUGCGGCGUUAGGAUUCUGUCCUGACGCCACGCCUGUUCGAGGGUUGUACAAGUGAAGACAGUCAGUUGCCAUUGACCGAUGCGUGUCAAGGAGGCGGCUGGUGCAAAGCAGUCUGUUUGUAGGCAAUUGUCAAUGCGGAUAUUUGCUGGCGAGUAGCCUUGUUUUCUGUUUUUGUCUUUUGCUUUAGCCAUAGUCUGCGGUGCGCAUUUUGUGUGUACCGAAUUGAAAGGACUAUGGGUGAAUUUAGUACUUGACAAAGUAAUUGGUUCAAUGCGUGCAGCGAACGCUUGUUUGCUGGCGGGUGGCCCAUACCACAAUGACUUGGUGGAUGACUUGGGUUGCUGCCUGGUGGACAUAUGUUUGAUGCGUGCGUCUUUGUAAGUUCAACCUCGAAUCAGACGUGAAAACCCGCUGAAUUUAAGCAUAUCACUAGGCGGAGGAAAAGAAACUAACAAGUAUUCCCGGAGUAACGGCGAGUGAAAUGGGAAAAGCCCAGCACCGAAUCCCGCAGUGUUUCAUUGUUGGGAAAUGUGGUGUGAAGGAGGUACUAUCUGGCGUUGUGUGUGCACUCUAAGUUCCCUUGACUGGGGCCACAGUCCGUAGAAGGUGCAAGACCUGUGAGAGUGUAUGACGCGACAGUGUGUGUUUCCGUGGAGUCGGGUUGCCUGAGAUCGCAGCUCAAAGCAGGUGGUAAGCCUCACCUAAGGCUAAAUAUGGCCAUGAGACCCGAUAGCGAACAAGUACCGUGAGGGAAAGUUGCAAAGAACUUUGAAGAGAGAGUUCAAGAGGACGUGAAACUGCUCGGAAGGAAACGGGUAGAGUUACUGAUAGUACAGCUGAUUCAUGUUGGCAUUGUUUGUUGAUGUGCUACGUUGUCCGUAAGGCUGCGUUGUGUAUUUUGAUGGAUGAUGCUGGCAGCAUUUCAGUUGUAUGCGCGCCGAGGGUGAUCGACUGUUCCGUGUGCAUCUUUUGGUUGACGGUGGCAGCACUUGUGUUAUCACCAGCCUUUGGAUUGUGCUUGAGUAAUGGUUGAUCAUUGUCGGAUGCUGGCGGUGUGCGAUUUGUGUGCCAGAAUGUUGUGUAUGUGGGAAGGCGCUUGCGUCGACUUGUGUGUAUGAUGUUUUGGUGUGCUACAAUCGCUGUCGGUGUCUUCUCGGUGUACAAGGUGACCACCUACCUGACCCGUCUUGAAACACGGACCAAGGAGCCUAACAUGUGCGCGAGUGAAUGGGUGUUGAAACCUAUACGCGAAAUGAAAGUGAAGUCGGCUUGCCGAUUGACACACGACCCGUUGCUUUUUUGGUAGCGGUGCAGUGUGGUCCCAUUCUGAUAGCUUGCUAUGGAGUGGAGACAGAGCGUACACGUUGGUACCCGAAAGAUGGUGAACUAUGCCUGAGCAGAACGAAGCCAGAGGAACUCUGGUGGAGGUUCGAAACGGUUCUGACGUGCAAAUCGAUCGUCAGACUUGGGUAUAGGGGCGAAAGACUAAUCGAACCAUCUAGUAGCUGGUUCCCUC